UAACAUUGAUGGUUCACUGCAUUCACCACCAAACAAGAUAUAUGAUAGUAGUUCCGAUGAAUAUAAUCUUGUGUCGUCAAUGAUUGGCAUCAUCACAAAUAUUGCUGCCACCCCCCUGGGUAGAGAUUACCUUUCAAGUAAAACACUUGGAGUGAAAACAUUGGAUUCUCUGAUUAUGUAUUUGUCUGAAAUGCCUACACGACAGUGUCACACCAUCAAAAAUCUUAUUCUUAAGUCCUUGUUUAAUGUGAGUAUCAACCAAACAGGACUAAAAUAUCUUUCGACGAAAAAAGGCCUGAUGACCAACCUUGGUUACCUGUUCACAGAAGAAACUGAGAGUGAACUUCGUUUGUCUUGUCUUAAUUGUAUACAGUCUUUAAUUGUCGAGCCAGAUAAUCUGUCUUUCUCACGAACUUCUUGAAGUGGUUUCGAUGCGAAGAUUACAAGAAAUUGCGGACACAUCCAAAGGCGAGCUAAAGAAAGUUGUCUUGGAAGUAAUGUCUGAUCUCAAUGAGGUUUUAUCUCGUCAGUCUUAACGUGUUCAAUAACCCAUGGUAGGAUUAUUCUUUUUUAUAUGUUUUGAAUGCAAUGCAAUUAAUCAAAGUCCAGUUUCGGUGGCAUACUUUUAUCUUUUGAGGAAAUCGAUUUGAUCUUUUUAAGAGUUCGUGCAUGGGUAUUGUAGUUGCUUAGAUUUAUCAAGUCCCUUGAAACUUCAUUGUUCGAAAAAAUAUUUAACUUAACUUUCGUAAAAAGUACAUUGUAGCUAAAGCGGAUUGUACAAUUCGAAAACAUCCGUUUAAAGUUAAUAUAAUAUAUUUGUAUUUAAAUGGUUUGCAUUCCACUACACUUGUCAAGUUUUUUCAUCAUAAGUUCACAAAAAAAUACACAACUAAAAAGAUUAAA